CGCGCGCCUUGUCUUGUGUGCCUCGCGAGGUAGAGCGGACGCGCGGCGGCGGCGGCGGCGGCGGGGAUCACUUUGCUGCUAGUUUCGGUUCGCGGCGGCGGCGGCGGGUGUCGUCUCGGCGGCGGCGGCAGCAGCGCUAUGUCGGAGGAGCAGUUCGGAGGGGACGGGGCGGCGGCGGCGGCCACGGCGGCGGUAGGCGGCUCGGCGGGCGAGCAGGAGGGAGCCAUGGUGGCGGCGGCGGCGGCGCCAGGGGCAGCGGCGGCGGGAAGCGGGAGCGGCGGCGGCUCCGCGGCCGGAGGCACCGAGGGAGGCAGCGCCGAGGCCGAGGGGGCGAAGAUCGACGCCAGUAAGAACGAGGAGGAUGAAGGCCAUUCAAACUCCUCCCCACGACACACUGAAGCAGCGACGGCACAGCGGGAAGAAUGGAAAAUGUUUAUAGGAGGCCUUAGCUGGGACACUACAAAGAAAGAUCUGAAGGACUACUUUUCCAAAUUUGGUGAAGUUGUAGACUGCACUCUGAAGUUAGAUCCUAUCACAGGGCGAUCAAGGGGUUUUGGCUUUGUCCUAUUUAAAGAGUCGGAGAGUGUAGAUAAGGUCAUGGAUCAGAAAGAACAUAAAUUGAAUGGGAAAGUCAUUGAUCCUAAAAGGGCCAAAGCCAUGAAAACAAAAGAGCCCGUCAAAAAAAUUUUUGUUGGUGGCCUUUCUCCAGAUACACCAGAAGAGAAAAUAAGAGAGUAUUUUGGUGGUUUUGGUGAGGUGGAAUCCAUAGAGCUCCCCAUGGACAACAAGACCAAUAAGAGGCGUGGGUUCUGUUUUAUUACCUUCAAGGAAGAGGAACCAGUGAAGAAGAUAAUGGAAAAGAAAUACCACAAUGUUGGUCUUAGUAAAUGUGAAAUAAAAGUAGCCAUGUCGAAGGAACAGUAUCAGCAACAGCAGCAGUGGGGAUCUAGAGGAGGGUUUGCAGGAAGAGCUCGUGGAAGAGGUGGUGGCCCCAGUCAAAACUGGAACCAGGGAUAUAGUAACUAUUGGAAUCAAGGCUAUGGCAACUAUGGAUAUAACAGCCAAGGUUACGGUGGUUAUGGAGGAUAUGACUACACUGGUUACAACAACUACUAUGGAUAUGGUGAUUAUAGCAAUCAGCAGAGUGGUUAUGGGAAAGUAUCCAGGCGAGGUGGUCAUCAAAAUAGCUACAAACCAUACUAAAUUAUUCCAUUUGCAACUUAUCCCAACAGCGGGAACUUCAUUGCAGGCCCUGUGUCGCGCUGACUUCACGAUUCUCACAGGCCCGCUCAAUGCGGACAGGGUACGAGAUGCUCACGCUCUCGAAUGCUGCCGUUUGGUGGUGAAGCAGUAUUUUCCAAUUUGAAGAUUCAUUUGAAGGUGGCUCCUGCCACCUGCUAAUAGCAGUUCAAACUAAAUUUUUUCUAUCAAGUUCCCGAAUGGAAGUAUGACGUUGGGUCCCUCUGAAGUUUAAUUCUGAGUUCUCAUUAAAAGAAAUUUGCUUUCAUUGUUUUAUUUCUUAAUUGCUAUGCUUCAGUAUCAAUUUGUGUUUUAUGCCCUCCCCAAACCCCCAGUAUUGUAGAGCAAGUCUUGUGUUAAAAGCCCAGUGUGACAGUGUCAUGAUGUAGUAGUGUCUUACUGGUUUUUUAAUAAAUCCUUUUGUAUAAAAA